UUUAGAAAGACUUGGCAGCAUUUCAACAACUGAAAGAUGAAGCCCAUUCAAAUCGCUGACAGUAAGUCCUUGUUGUCAUUACUGUUAUCAUCAGUAGUGCAGAAGGAAGCAGCACAAGGAAGCAGGUUUUUGCAGCAUGAGUGGAUGACACUAAAAUAAUGGCAGUGUACCAGAACAUAUUCAGGGAACUGUGGUAUGACUAGUCACUAGAAGAUGUUAUGUUUUUCAAAGCCAUUCCCCUUCUUUCACCUGUUGGUUCAGAGUCUGAGAGGAGACCUACAAAAAACCCUUUCAAAACA